GAUGAAGAACGUAGCGAAAUGCGAUAAGUAAUGUGAAUUGCAGAAUUCAGUGAAUCAUCGAAUCUUUGAACGCACAUUGCGCCCGCCAGUAUUCUGGCGAGCAUGCCUGUUCGAGCGUCAUUUCAACCAUCAAGCCCCAGGCUUGUGUUGGAGCCCUGCGGCUGCCGCAGCCUCCCAAAACCAGUGGCGGGCUCGCUAUCACACCGAGUGCAGUAGUUUACUCUUCGCUCAGGGCGUGUGGCGGGUGCUAGCCGUGAAACCCCCAACUUCUCAAGGUUGACCUCGGAUCAGGUAGGAAUACCCGCUGAACUUAAGCAUAUCAAUAAGUGGAGGA
rnacentral:misc_RNA from 1 species